AUUGAACGCUGGCGGCAUGCCUUACACAUGCAAGUCGAACGGUAACAGGUCUUCGGAUGCUGACGAGUGGCGAACGGGUGAGUAAUACAUCGGAACGUGCCCGAUCGUGGGGGAUAACGGAGCGAAAGCUUUGCUAAUACCGCAUACGAUCUACGGAUGAAAGCAGGGGACCGCAAGGCCUUGCGCGGACGGAGCGGCCGAUGGCAGAUUAGGUAGUUGGUGGGAUAAAAGCUUACCAAGCCGACGAUCUGUAGCUGGUCUGAGAGGACGACCAGCCACACUGGGACUGAGACACGGCCCAGACUCCUACGGGAGGCAGCAGUGGGGAAUUUUGGACAAUGGGCGCAAGCCUGAUCCAGCCAUGCCGCGUGCAGGGAUGAAGGCCUUCGGGUUGUAAACUGCUUUUGUACGGAACGAAAGACUCCUUCUAAUAAGGGGUCCAUGACGGUACCGUAAGAAUAAGCACCGGCUAACUACGUGCCAGCAGCCGCGGUAAGG
rnacentral:rRNA from 1 species